GACGAACGCUGGCGGCGUGCUUAACACAUGCAAGUCGAACGGUAAGGCCCUACGGGGUACACGAGUGGCGCACGGGAGAGUAACACGUGGGAAUCUACCUUUUGGUUCGGAAUAACGUCGGGAAACUGACGCUAAUACCGGAUAAGCCCUACGGGGGAAAGUUUUUCGCCAAAAGAUGAGCCCGCGCUAGAUUAGCUUGUUGGUGAGGUAAUGGCUCACCAAGGCUACGAUCUAUAGCUGGUCUGAGAGGAUGACCAGCCUCACUGGGACUGAGACACGGCCCAGACUCCUACGGGAGGCAGCAGUGGGGAAUAUUGGACAAUGGGGGAAACCCUGAUCCAGCCAUGCCGCGUGAAUGAUGAAGGCCUUCGGGUUGUAAAGUUCUUUUGGUAGGGACGAUGAUGACGGUACCUACAGAAUAAGCUCCGGCUAACUUCGUGCCAGCCGCCGCAGUAA
rnacentral:rRNA from 1 species